AAUCGGUGGAAUUCGUAUGGAAGUUGUGGGAAACCACCCUCAUUUUACAAAACUCACGAUCCGGAAACGUGCAAGUUAGAAUCGUUUUAAUUUUGGAAAGGUUUUAUAAAAGACCGUUGGAAUUGGGAAGCCAAAAGGUUAAGGUUGGUGUAUUGGUGCAUAAAAUAUACCUUCUCCACUCUUCCUUCUUCACUUCACUCAUCCCGCUCUGCUCUCCAAACACCUUCGGAGACGACUGAUCGCGACCUCUGUAACUCAGCUCACCGGAGACACAAGCACCCCCACCCUUCGUAGGACUAGGACACUCACAACCAUGUCGGCUUCAAAUUGCAAAUGUUGUAUGCAUCAGAUGUUGGACAAGUACCAAAUGUUGAGGAAACAAUUAGGAUUCAGACUUGUACUUAGAGCCAUCCAUCACCUAUAGAAUUAGAAACUAUAACCAUCUAUCAUGAAGCCUUUGAUCAUUUACUACAUGUGUAAUCAUGUAUCCUUUUGAGUUGCUUUUUGUUGUAUUGUUGUUCAUCUAUAAGGAAAAAGAAGGUUUUGAAGAAAAGUUACUGUUGUUUAUGUCUACAACUUUCAUGCAUCAUUAAGGUAAACAGAAGAGUUUUGGGCCUAACAGUAGCGUUUAUACAUGGUUGCAACUUUCAUGACCGGGUAUUUGCAUUUUUGUAGGAAAGUAAAGUUUUAGUUUUAAGCCUUUACGAGUGAUAAAGGAUUGAACUUGGUUCAUACAUAUGAAUUAAAAUUGUGAAUCCACAGUUGACAGAAUCAGGGAAGUCGAAAACUCAUAAAUUUGAGUAGAUUGUAAACAAAAACACAAUCAAUAAUGGAAAUGACAUUGAUAUACGAAAAUUAAAUAUAAUAGAAAUGUAAUAAAAAUAAAUAAACACAAAACAAUAAAUUACAAUCAUGAAGAUAACAUAUCAUGUUCAAUAAACACUCGGCGGCUACAUUGUUAUUGUUCGGUUUUGCAUGUAUUGGAUUAUCGUUUACGUUGGUAUAACUAAAAGGUUAAGACAUUCAUUCAUCUAUUCUAAUUAUCGCUAAGCUUUCGUCUAUCAGUUUCAUGUCAAAUACCUUAUCAUGAUUUUGAUACAAAAUAAAGCUUUGAAGAUGGGUA